rnacentral:lncRNA from 1 species
GUUUUACAUGUGUGGGACAAAAUGCCUUUUGCAUUGAGCUUGAAACAGGUGAGGAAGUUAAAAAUUGGCUUCGCAGAGGCCAGAGGGCCUGGAAGGGAGUCAGCAGCCUCUGAGAAACCAGCUGGUAGCUUAAAGGUCAAGAAGCAAACAAGAUGCUGAUGCCAAGAAAGAGGCUCAGAAAGGUUUCCUUCUCUGCAAUGCCUUGCUCCUCAGAAGGACGCCUUGCUGCUGCCUGGACUUCCUCCCUUACAAGAAUGCAUAAAUCAGUGCAGACCUACUUUUGCCCACCCAGUAUGUCUCCUCAAGCCCAGGUAUCCACGCAAAAAAAUGGGCAGUGAAGAUGGUACGAAGGCCAAGAGUGUGACCACAAUGAGUCAUGCUACUGAUAAACCACUCUGAAAACAAAAUCAUCUGAUCAGUGAGAUCAAUGCCUCAAUUCACCAUCCCCAGAAACCUCACAGAUGAUAUCUUAACCCCACCUCAACAGAGACCCAAUGAGGAGUGGGAUACAGAAAAAAAUGAUUGCCUCAAAUUCCAAAUGAUUAAACAGAACACUGAAAAAUACCAUUGAAACAAGAAAUCACUGUCUUUUGACAAUGGGCUGUCUUUAUAGACUGAUAUGAUAUCCAUCCAGCA